GAUGAACGCUCGCUACAGGCUUAACACAUGCAAGUCGAGGGGAAACGCCAUCGAAAGCUUGCUUUUGAUGGGCGUCGACCGGCGCACGGGUGAGUAACGCGUAUCCAACCUGCCCAUCACUUGGGAAUAACCUUGCGAAAGUAAGACUAAUACCCAAUGAUAUCCCACGAAGGCAUCGGAAUGGGAUUAAAGAUUUAUCGGUGAUGGAUGGGGAUGCGUCUGAUUAGCUUGUUGGCGGGGUAACGGCCCACCAAGGCAACGAUCAGUAGGGGUUCUGAGAGGAAGGUCCCCCACAUUGGAACUGAGACACGGUCCAAACUCCUACGGGAGGCAGCAGUGAGGAAUAGUGGUCAAUGGGCGAGAGCCUGAACCAGCCAAGUAGCGUGCAGGAAGACGGCCCUAUGGGUUGUAAACUGCUUUUAUAAGGGAAUAAAGUGGGUCACGUGUGACUUUUUGCAUGUACCUUAUGAAUAAGAACCGGCUAAUUCCGUG
rnacentral:rRNA from 1 species